rnacentral:ncRNA from 1 species
UCUCGACAAAGGCAAAGCUGACGAAAGUCAGUGACGCAAAGCUAAAGGGGCUUCCUUGUCCUGAGCAGGACACGCUGCCAGCCAGCUGCCGAA